rnacentral:lncRNA from 10 species
ACUCAGAGACCGGUGCCAGCGCGGGUCCUCCGUAUGCUGAGUGACGGUCCCUUGGGCCCACUGUUCCUUCUCUAUACUUUGUCUCUGUGUCUUAUUUCUUUUCUCAGUCUCUCGUCCCACCUGACGAGAAAUACCCACAGGUGUGGAGGGGCUGGACACCCCUUCGAGCCAGGAUUAUCAGGGCAUUUGGGGGUCUGCAAAACUAAGCCCCAACUCAUCGAUUUCACAACUUCAUCCAGAGCCAGCCUGAACAGUAGUUGCCCAUGAUUUCUAUGCCUUAAUACGAGAAGAGAACAUAGGGGCUGGGUGCCAAGUAGGUAGACAGGGAGGGCAGGGAACUCUAAGACAGAGCUUGAGGGGCUCGUUCCUCUUGCAAAAUGAAACAAAAACCACAGCACUGAAUAUGUAAAUCUCGGUGGCUGAACCCCUCCUAGGAUAGUAAGCCCUGAUACAAUUGCUGCUAUCUUCUCUUUCUCUCAAGGAAGUCAAAAAACACCUGCAGCCUUACUGUCCCCUUGGAAACAAGAUGAACAUCUACAUUUUCUAGAGUGGGACAAGAAUCUCUGUUCAUAUUUAUGUCCCAUGCAUUUGCACGUGGCCGGACAAAGGACUUUGCUUCUGCCAGCACAUCUGUCUUCAGAUAUGAGAGGAAACAGACACAACCUGGAGGCGGCAAAGAAGCAGCUCUUUCUCAAGUGACCUCCUCUAUCUCCCUACUUCCUGGCUAAUGGGGCAGCCUUGAUCCUUGGGAAUCCAGGACAGAUAUCCACUCGUGACAAACUAGCUGGAAGAAUGACAACCAAUCAGGUUCCAAGCACCACUGGAUGUGAACCACAGAAUUUCCUCCUCUCCUUGUGGAAUGUCAGCUUACGUCUGACAAAAAAUGUAAAACUGAGAGAGUUACAAUCUUAAGGAGGAGUCAAGCUAAAGCAGAAAGAAUCACCUACUCUGGACUCCAGCAUGACUGCUGAGCUCAAAUAUAUAUAUAGAGAGAAAGAACCACAAACUUGAAGAUGGAUAUCAGCUACAGACUUUCCUGAGUCAGGUAGGGAAAUGGCCAUCCCUCAAACCUUGCAAAAGGCAAACUUAUGCCAUUGUGUCCUCUGACAUACUGGGUGAUGUACUGUAUGUUACUGAUGUGAGGGGAAGUCUCUCUUCAGUUGAAUUUUGAAAGACAAUUA